CCUACGGGUGACAGCAGUGGGGAAUAUUGCACAAUGGGGGAAACCCUGAUGCAGCGACGCCGCGUGAGUGAAGAAGUAUUUCGGUAUGUAAAGCUCUAUCAGCAGGGAAGAAAUAGCGACCUUUGGGUCGCCAGACGGUACCUGACUAAGAAGCCCCGGCUAACUACGUGCCAGCAGCCGCGGUAAACCGUAGGGGGCAAGCGUUAUCCGGAUUUACUGGGUGGAAAGGGAGCGUAGACGGCAGCACAAGUCUGAAGUGAAAUGCCGGGGCUUAACCCCGGAACUGCUUUGGAAACUGUGCAGCUAGAGUGCAGGAGAGGUAAGUGGAAUUCCUAGUGUAGCGGAGAAAUGCGUAGAUAUUAGGAGGAACACCAGUGGCGAAGGCGGCUUACUGGACUGUAACUGACGUUGAGGCUCGAAAGCGUGGGGAGCAAACAGGAUUAGAUACCCCAGUAGUC
rnacentral:rRNA from 1 species